ACGAACGCUGGCGGCAUGCCUAACACAUGCAAGUCGAACGAGACCUUCGGGUCUAGUGGCGCACGGGUGCGUAACGCGUGGGAACCUGCCCUUAGGUUCGGAAUAACUCCCCGAAAGGGGUGCUAAUACCGGAUAAUGUCUUCGGACCAAAGAUUUAUCGCCUUUGGAUGGGCCCGCGUUGGAUUGGCUAGUUGGUAGGGUAAAAGCCUACCAAGGCGACGAUCGAUAGCUGGUCUGAGAGGAUGAUCAGCCACACUGGGACUGAGACACGGCCCAGACUCCUACGGGAGGCAGCAGUGGGGAAUAUUGGACAAUGGGCGAAAGCCUGAUCCAGCAAUGCCGCGUGAGUGAUGAAGGCCUUAGGGUUGUAAAGCUCUUUUACCCGGGAUGAUAAUGACAGUACCGGGAGAAUAAGCUCCGGCUAACUCCGUG
rnacentral:rRNA from 1 species